rnacentral:rRNA from 1 species
AGCUUGCUCUUUUCAGAAUUGAGUGGCAAACGGGUGAGUAACACGUAAACAACCUGCCUUCAGGAUGGGGAUAACAGUUGGAAACGGCUGCUAAUACCGCAUAAGCGCACAGCAUCGCAUGAUGCAGUGUGAAAAACUCCGGUGGUAUAAGAUGGACCCGCGUUGGAUUAGCUAGUUGGUGAGGUAACGGCCCACCAAGGCGACGAUCAGUAGCCGGACUGAGAGGUCGAACGGCCACAUUGGGACUGAGACACGGUCCAAACUCC